CCCAGACAAACUCAACAAGGUAACAGACAGUCCCUGUCACCACAGACAAACUCAACAAGGUAACAGACCGUCCCUGUCACCACAGACAAACUCAACAAGGUAACAGACCGUCCCUGUCACCACAGACAAACUCAACAAGGUAACAGACCGUCCCUGUCACCACAGACAAACUCAACAAGGUAACAGACCGUCCCUGUCACCACAGACAAACUCAACAAGGUAACAGACCGUCCCUGUCACCACAGACAAACUCAACAAGGUAACAGACCGUCCCUGUCACCACAGACAAACUGAACAAGGUAACAGACCGUCCCUGUCACCACAGACAAACUCAACAAGGUAACAGACCGUCCCUGUCACCACAGACAAACUCAACAAGGUAACAGACAGUCCCUGUCACCACAGACAAACUCAACAAGGUAACAGACCGUCCCUGUCACCACAGACAAACUCAACAAGGUAACAGACCGUCCCUGUCACCACAGACAAACUCAACAAGGUAACAGACCGUCCCUGUCACCACAGACAAACUCAACAAGGUAACAGACUGUCACCACAGACAAACUCAACAAGGUAACAGACCGUCCCUGUCACCACAGACAAACUCAACAAGGUAACAGACCGUCCCUGUCACCACAGACAAACUCAACAAGGUAACAGACCGUCCCUGUCACCACAGACAAACUCAACAAGGUAACAGACCGUCCCUGUCACCACAGACAAACUCAACAAGGUAACAGACCGUCCCUGUCACCACAGACAAACUCAACAAGGUAACAGACAGUCCCUGUCACCACAGACAAACUCAACAAGGUAACAGACCGUCCCUGUCACCACAGACAAACUGAACAAGGUAACAGACCGUCCCUGUCACCACAGACAAACUCAACAAGGUAACAGACCGUCCCUGUCACCACAGACAAACUCAACAAGGUAACAGACCGUCCCUGUCACCACAGACAAACUCAACAAGGUAACAGACCGUCCCUGUCACCACAGACAAACUCAACAAGGUAACAGACAGUCCCUGUCACCACAGACAAACUCAACAAGGUAACAGACCGUCCCUGUCACCACAGACAAACUCAACAAGGUAACAGACCGUCCCUGUCACCACAGACAAACUCAACAAGGUAACAGACCGUCCCUGUCACCACAGACAAACUCAACAAGGUAACAGACCGUCCCUGUCACCACAGACAAACUGAACAAGGUAACAGACCGUCCCUGUCACCACAGACAAACUCAACAAGGUAACAGACCGUCCCUGUCACCACAGACAAACUCAACAAGGUAACAGACCGUCCCUGUCACCACAGACAAACUCAACAAGGUAACAGACCGUCCCUGUCACCACAGACAAACUCAACAAGGUAACAGACUGUCACCCCAGACAAACUCAACAAGGUAACAGACAGUCCCUGUCACCACAGACAAACUCAACAAGGUAACAGACCGUCCCUGUCACCACAGACAAACUCAACAAGGUAACAGACACACAGUUUUAAUAUAAUCUACUGAAUUAGAGUUCAUUAUUUUAGGUUAAAGUUUAGUGAUGUCAUGUCAAUUUAUCCCCAGGCCAGGAUGAGAGCGCAUGAUUGGGUGAGAGAGGUGGAGAAACCUGUCGUCGUCACAGAAACCAUCGGGGGGGCGACGGAGGAGGAGCAAAGAGGAGAACCUGAAAUAAGAGAGGGAGAAGAAGAGAAGAAAGAGGGGGAGGAGCUGGAGGAGAAGAAAGAGGGGGAGGAGCUAAAGGAGAAGAAAGAGGGGGAGGAGCUAAAGGAGAAGAAAGAGGAGGAGGAGCUAAAGGAGAAGAAAGAGGGGGAGGAGCUAAAGGAGAAGAAAGAGGGGGAGGAGAUAAAGGAGAAUGAGGAAGAGAGACGAUCCAGGUCUGUAGAGGUGAGAUCGGAUGUUGGACAGAG